UGAGUAACACGUAUCCAACCUGCCGUCUACUCUUGGCCAGCCUUCUGAAAGGAAGAUUAAUCCAGGAUGGCAUCAUGAGUUCACAUGUCCGCAUGAUUAAAGGUAUUCCGGUAGACGAUGGGGAUGCGUUCCAUUAGAUAGUAGGCGGGGUAACGGCCCACCUAGUCUACGAUGGAUAGGGGUUCUGAGAGGAAGGUCCCCCACAUUGGAACUGAGACACGGUCCAA
rnacentral:rRNA from 1 species